GAUGAACGCUAGCGGGAGGCUUAACACAUGCAAGUCGAGGGGCAGCACGAGGUAGCAAUACUUUGGUGGCGACCGACGCACGGGUGAGUAACGCGUAUGCAACCUACCCUGUACAGGGGGAUAACCCGGAGAAAUUCGGACUAAUACCCCAUAAAGAUAUUUGGAGGCAUCUUUGAAUAUUUAAAGUUCCGGCGGUACGGGAUGGGCAUGCGUGACAUUAGCUAGUUGGUAGGGUAACGGCCUACCAAGGCUUCGAUGUCUAGGGGUCCUGAGAGGGUGAUCCCCCACACUGGUACUGAGACACGGACCAGACUCCUACGGGAGGCAGCAGUGAGGAAUAUUGGUCAAUGGGCGCAAGCCUGAACCAGCCAUCCCGCGUGAAGGAAGAAGGCGCUAUGCGUUGUAAACUUCUUUUCCAGGGGAAGAAAACCAGAUACGAGUAUCGGCUUGCCGGUACCCUGGGAAUAAGCAUCGGCUAACUCCGUGCCAGCAGCCGCCGUAAAAC
rnacentral:rRNA from 1 species